rnacentral:rRNA from 1 species
GACGAACGCUGGCGGCGUGCUUAACACAUGCAAGUCGAACGACGUGGCGAACGGGUGAGUAACGCGUAAUCAACCUGCCCUUCAGAGGGGGACAACAGGUGACAACGACUCCUAAUACCGAAUACUGAAGUCGGUGCUUGCGUCUGAUUAGCUAGUGGGAGGGGUACCGGCCCACAAGGGAGAUGAUCAGUAGGCGGUCUGGGAGGCUGAACGGCCACAUUGGGACUGGGGAACGGCCCAGAAUCCUACGGGAGGCAGCAGUGGGGAAACUUUCGAAAUGGACGAAAGUCUGACGGAGCAACGCCGCGGGAGUGAUGAAGGCCUUCGGGUUGUAAAGCUCUGUUAGUCGGGACGCGGUACCGGAAUAGAAAGCCACGGCUAACUACGUGCCAGCAGCCGCGGUAAUAC